UACGGAGGGGGCAAGCGUUACUCGGAAUUAUUGGGCGUAAAGGGCGCGUAGGCGGUCGUGUGCGUCAGACGUUAAAUCCCCCGGCUUAACCUGGGAACUGCGUCUGAUACUGGGAGGCUAGAGUAUGGGAGAGGGAUGUAGAAUUCCAGGUGUAGCGGUGAAAUGCGUAGAUAUCUGGAGGAAUACCGGUGGCGAAGGCGGCAUCCUGGACCAUUACUGACGCUGAGGCGCGAAAGCUAGGGGAGCAAACGGG
rnacentral:rRNA from 1 species